rnacentral:rRNA from 1 species
UUAAAUGUAAAAUUUUUAUUUAAUUAUUAUUAGUUAUGGUCUUUAAAAUUAAAAAUUUUGGCGGUAUUUUAGUCUUUUUAGAGGAACCUGUUCUUUAAAUGAUAAUCCACGAUUUUAUUAACUUUUAUUAUUAGUUUGUAUAUCGUCGUAAUUAAAUAUUUUUUUAGAAUUAAAAUAUUUAGAAUUUUUAUAAAAAAAUUAAUCAGAUCAAGGUGCAGUUUAUAUAAAAGUAGAAAUGGGUUACAAUAAAGGUAUUUUUGGAUUUUAAAUAUUAAUAUUUAAAUGAAAUUGGAUUUAAAUGUAAUAUUAAUUAAUUAGUUAAUAUGAUUUUGGCUCUAAGAUAUGU